AGGGUUUGAUCAUGGCUCAGGACGAACGCUGGCGGCGUGCCUAAUACAUGCAAGUGGAACGCAUGAUUGAUACCGGAGCUUGCUCCACCAUUAAUCAUGAGUCGCGAACGGGUGAGUAACGCGUAGGUAACCUACCUCAUAGCGGGGGAUAACUAUUGGAAACGAUAGCUAAUACCGCAUAACAGUAUUUAUCGCAUGGUAAAUGCUUGAAAGGAGCAACUGCUUCACUAUGAGAUGGACCUGCGUUGUAUUAGCUAGUUGGUGGGGUAACGGCUCACCAAGGCAUCGAUACAUAGCCGACCUGAGAGGGUGAUCGGCCACACUGGGACUGAGACACGGCCCAGACUCCUACGGGAGGCAGCAGUAGGGAAUCUUCGGCAAUGGGGGGAACCCUGACCGAGCAACGCCGCGUGAGUGAAGAAGGUUUUCGGAUCGUAAAGCUCUGUUGUAAGAGAAGAACGUGUGUGAGAGUGGAAAGUUCACACAGUGACGGUAACUUACCAGAAAGGGACGGCUAACUACGUGCCAGCCGCCGCGGUAAUAC
rnacentral:rRNA from 1 species